GAAUAAACAAGUGCAGGUUGUGCUGGCCUUCUUGGUAUGUGCACGCCUGCCAACGUUUCAUUCUAUCUUCCCACCUGUGCACUCUGUGUAGAUUCUGUAUGCUAUUGUCAGGCCUUCAUUGAGCUUGGUUGAGAGGAGUUGCUUGUUUUCACAGACAAGCUCUUCUUGGGCAUGCAGAUCUAUGUUUUAUAUCAACACCAUAUGAAUGUUAUAGAAUGUGCUUUGGGCUUUUUGGCCUUUAAAUUAUAUACAACUUUCAACAACGGAUCUCUUGGCUCU
rnacentral:misc_RNA from 1 species